CGGAAGGGGCAAGCGUUGUUCGGAAUCAUUGGGCGUAAAGGGCGUGUAGGUGGUUCUGUAUGUCUAUCGUGAAAGCGUACGGCUCAACCGUAUUUAGUCGGUAGAAACUGCAGGACUUGAGGCUGGGAGGGGCUGGUGGAAUUCCCUGUGUAGCGGUGAAAUGCGUAGAGAUGGGGGAGAACACUCGUGGCGAAGGCGGCCAGCUAGACCAGUUCUGACACUGAGGCGCGACAGCGUGGGGAGCAAACAGGAUUAGAUACCCUGGUAGUCCACGCUGUAAACGAUGGGCACUAGGUGCUGGCGGUCUUGAUCCCGUCGGUGCCGGCGCUAACGCAGUAAGUGCCCCGCCUGGGGAGUACGGUCGCAAGGUUG
rnacentral:rRNA from 1 species